rnacentral:rRNA from 1 species
GUGUCAGCAGCCGCGGUAAUACGGGGGGGACAAGCGUUGUUCGGAUUUACUGGGCGUAAAGGGCGCGUAGGCGGAUCUUCAAGUCAGAUGUGAAAACUCCGGGCUUAACCCGGAGCCUGCAUUUGAUACUGUUGAUCUUGAGUACAGGAGAGGAGAGUGGAAUUCCAGGUGUAGCGGUGAAAUGCGUAGAUAUCUGGAAGAACACCAGUAGCGAAGGCGGCUCUCUGGACUGAUACUGACGCUCAAGCGCGAAGGCUUGGGGAGCAAACAGGAUUAGAUACCCGAGUAGUCC